GGACCAUUAGCUCAGUUGGUUAGAGCCAACCGCUCAUAACGGUUAGGUCACAGGUUCGAGUCUUGUAUGGUCCA
rnacentral:tRNA from 1 species